CCUACGGGUGGCAGCAGUGAGGAAUAUUGGUCAAUGGACGAGAGUCUGAACCAGCCAAGUAGCGUGAAGGAUGACUGCCCUAUGGGUUGUAAACUUCUUUUAUAUGGGAAUAAAAUGUUCCACGUGUGGGAUUUUGUAUGUACCAUAUGCAUAAGGAUCGGCUAACUCCGUGCCAGCAGCCGCGGUAAUACGGAGGAUCCGAGCGUUAUCCGGUUUAAUUGGGUUUAAAGGGAGCGUAGGUGGAUUGUUAAGUCAGUUGUGAAAGUUUGCGGCUCAACCGUAAAAUUGCAGUUGAAACUGGCAGUCUUGAGUGCAGUAGAGGUGGGCGGAAUUCGUGGUGUAGCGGUGAAAUGCUUAGAUAUCACGAAGAACUCCGGUUGCGAAGGCAGUUCACUGGACUGCAACUGACACUGAGGCUCGAAAGUGUGGGUAUCAAACAGGAUUAGAUACCCGAGUAGUC
rnacentral:rRNA from 1 species